UGACAGCUGUCAGAGUGACACGGAUUGUAGAUAGGUCCACGGGCUGGUGUCAAGAUACCCUUGAAUAUACGUAGUAUAGGUAUCCUUGGAGGGGUUUGAUACAGACCGGGGGUUGACGGGUUUGACUGUAGUACCUAGUAUCCGGUGUUCAAAACAUGCAUGAUGGGACAGGGAACAUUGAAUGAUCGAUGAAAAGAUAAAUAUAGUACUAUGUAUUGUCUCAAAUACUGAGUAAUACCCUUGCCCUCUGUAUUCCUAGUUGGUCGGGGUUUAUCGUAUGAAUCGACAGUAUUAAAUAUGUGACAUCGUGGCUUGAAGCUGACAUGUUCUCGUAACCAAGCAACAGUAAGUUAGUUGCUUGAGCUGCUACUGACAGGCUGCCAGGGGUUAGGGUUCACUACGCCUUGGUCAAGCGCGAAUUGAAUAUGUUAACUAGUAACUAUAGAUAUUAUCCAGUCAUUGGCUACAUUGCUAUUGAGUCCAGUCAUCAUCCAUGUUGAGCAAGCAAACAAUAACUACAUGGUUAGGCAAAAGCCAGAAUCGAUGAAUCACAUACCGAAUGGAGAAUAAACUCGGAAGCGAAUGCAGCACGAAAUCAGUCGGCGAUUCUUGACACAUAGCUAUUGUCCGGGUGCAUAAUCAGAUAGAUAUAUAUUCAUACCUAGAUACGUAGCUGUCAAGUUUUGGGCAUUCUGUAUAUCAAUGCAAGGACUGGAUUUUGACUGAACCUUAUGCACAUUAUACUUCAAUACAUGUAUGUUCGCUUAUAGCCA
rnacentral:lncRNA from 1 species